rnacentral:rRNA from 1 species
AAGGGAGCUAUGCUCCCUGAUUUAGCGGCGGACGGGUGAGUAAUGCCUAGGAAUCUGCCUGGUAGUGGGGGAUAACGUUCCGAAAGGAACGCUAAUACCGCGUACGUCCUACGGGAGAAAGCAGGGGACCUUCGGGCCUUGCGCUAUCAGAUGAGCCUAGGUCGGAUUAGCUAGUUGGUGAGGUAAUGGCUCACCAAGGCGACGAUCCGUAACUGGUCUGAGAGGAUGAUCAGUCACACUGGAACUGAGACACGGUCCAGACUCCUACGGGAGGCAGCAGUGGGGAAUAUUGGACAAUGGGCGAAAGCCUGAUCCAGCCAUGCCGCGUGUGUGAAGAAGGUCUUCGGAUUGUAAAGCACUUUAAGUUGGGAGGAAGGGCUGCUGGUUAAUACCCUGCAGUUUUGACGUUACCAACAGAAUAAGCACCGGCUAACUUCGUGCCAGCAGCCGCGGUAAUACGAAGGGUGCAAGCGUUAAUCGGAAUUACUGGGCGUAAAGCGCGCGUAGGUGGUUCGUUAAGUUGGAUGUGAAAGCCCCGGGCUCAACCUGGGAACUGCAUCCAAAACUGGCGAGCUAGAGUACGGUAGAGGGUGGUGGAAUUUCCUGUGUAGCGGUGAAAUGCGUAGAUAUAGGAAGGAACACCAGUGGCGAAGGCGACCACCUGGACUGAUACUGACACUGAGGUGCGAAAGCGUGGGGGAGCAAACAGGAUUAGAUACCCUGGUAGUCCACGCCGUAAACGAUGUCAACUAGCCGUUGGAAUCCUUGAGAUUUUAGUGGCGCAGCUAACGCAUUAAGUUGACCGCCUGGGGAGUACGGCCGCAAGGUUAAAACUCAAAUGAAUUGACGGGGGCCCGCACAAGCGGU